UCCGGUUUGUCACCGGCAGUCUCAUUAGAGUGCCCUUUCGUAGCAACUAAUGACAAGGGUUGCGCUCGUUGCGGGACUUAACCCAACAUCUCACGACACGAGCUGACGACAGCCAUGCAGCACCUGUGUAUCGGCUCUCUUUCGAGCACCCCCAGAUCUCCCCAGGGUUCCGACCAUGUCAAGGGUAGGUAAGGUUUUUCGCGUUGCAUCGAAUUAAUCCACAUCAUCCACCGCUUGUGCGGGUCCCCGUCAAUUCCUUUGAGUUUUAAUCUUGCGACCGUACUCCCCAGGCGGUCAACUUCACGCGUUAGCUGCGUUACCAAGGAAAUUAAUCCCCGACAACUAGUUGACAUCGUUUAGGGCGUGGACUAC
rnacentral:misc_RNA from 1 species